CAUGCAAGUCGAGCGGUAGCAGGUCCUUCGGGAUGCUGACGAGCGGCGGACGGGUGAGUAAUGCAUAGGAAUCUGCCCGGUAGUGGGGGAUAACCUGGGGAAACCCAGGCUAAUACCGCAUACGUCCUACGGGAGAAAGGGGGCUYYGGCUCCCGCUAUUGGAUGAGCCUAUGUCGGAUUAGCUAGUUGGUGAGGUAAAGGCUCACCAAGGCGACGAUCCGUAGCUGGUCUGAGAGGAUGAUCAGCCACAUCGGGACUGAGACACGGCCCGAACUCCUACGGGAGGCAGCAGUGGGGAAUAUUGGACAAUGGGGGCAACCCUGAUCCAGCCAUGCCGCGUGUGUGAAGAAGGCCYUCGGGUUGUAAAGCACUUUCAGCGAGGAAGAACGCCURKYGGUUAAUACCCRKUAGGAAAGACAUCACUCGCAGAAGAAGCACCGGCUAACUCCGUGCCAGCAGCCGCGGUAAUACGGAGGGUGCAAGCGUUAAUCGGAAUUACUGGGCGUAAAGCGCGCGUAGGUGGCUUGAUAAGCCGGUUGUGAAAGCCCCGGGCUCAACCUGGGAACGGCAUCCGGAACUGUCAGGCUAGAGUGCAGGAGAGGAAGGUAGAAUUCCCGGUGUAGCGGUGAAAUGCGUAGAGAUCGGGAGGAAUACCAGUGGCGAAGGCGGCCUUCUGGACUGACACUGACACUGAGGUGCGAAAGCGUGGGUAGCAAACAGGAUUAGAUACCCUGGUAGUCCACGCCGUAAACGAUGUCGACCAGCCGUUGGGUGCCUAGCGCACUUUGUGGCGAAGUUAACGCGAUAAGUCGACCGCCUGGGGAGUACGGCCGCAAGGUUAAAACUCAAAUGAAUUGACGGGGGCCCGCACAAGCGGUGGAGCAUGUGGUUUAAUUCGAUGCAACGCGAA
rnacentral:rRNA from 1 species